rnacentral:rRNA from 1 species
GAUGAACGCUAGCUACAGGCUUAACACAUGCAAGUCGAGGGGUAACGAGAGGAAAGCUUGCUUUCCUUGUCGACGACCGGCGCACGGGUGAGUAACGCGUAUCCAACCUGCCCCCAACUAGGGAAUAACCUUGCGAAAGUAAGACUAAUACCCUAUAAUUUCCUCAGAUGUCAUCUGACGAGGAAUAAAGAUUUAUCGGUUGUGGAUGGGGAUGCGUCUGAUUAGCUUGUUGGCGGGGUAACGGCCCACCAAGGCAACGAUCAGUAGGGGUUCUGAGAGGAAGGUCCCCCACAUUGGGACUGAGACGCGGUCCAAACUCCUACGGGAGGCAGCAGUGAGGAAUAUUGGUCAAUGGGCGGAAGCCUGAACCAGCCAAGUAGCGUGCAGGAUGACGGCCCUAUGGGUUGUAAACUGCUUUUAUACAGGAAUAAAGUUAGCCACAUGUGGUUAUUUGUAGGUACUGUAUGAAUAAGGACCGGCUAAUUCCGUGCCAGCCGCCGCGGUAA